rnacentral:misc_RNA from 1 species
AAUAAUAAUAAUAAUAAUAGUAAUCAUCAUCAAGAUCAUAUUUAAUAUUGCGCUGACAGUGACGGUAGUGGCUGUUGGAAAUUGGCUCGAGUUUAAAGUCAAAAAUUAUUUCGCUCCAAUUUUUAAUUACUUUCAUAUUUGAUAUAGAAGUUAUUUAUUUAUUAAAUUUAAUAAAAUUAAAGAUACGAGUUUGAUUAAGUCACCGAAUAACACGGGGUGUGUGCUUGUGUGUGUGAGUGUGUGUGUGUGCUCUACGAAUUCGCUAAAAGUCUAUAAUAUAUAACUGCCGGUGAUUUGGCAGUGUGAAACAUCGAAUUGUGGUAUUUGGUGACGGCAUUAACAAAAAGUGCUAAUUAACGGUGUCUUGGUGAAUGUAAUUAUAAUUUAUAAAAAUACCUCAGGAAAAGUGGGCGAGGGCGUGCGUGACCGGGUUUAGAUCGUUACAGGGGUGGAAAAAAAAAUGAAAGAAUAAGUUAUUUUUUUUAACACAAUUAUAACAUAUUAUUUAUACAUAAAAACUAAACUCUGAAGAUCGUGAUUGUCGAUGGUACAAAAAUAAUAAGAUAAAAACACAAAAGUAAAAAAUAUGAAUUUUAAUGGACUGUAAAAAUCUUAAAUAGCUAAUUGGUUAAACCGGUCCGUUUUAAAUUCUGUAAGAUCUGUAUGGUAUAUAGAUCUAAGUAUACGUUAAAAUAUUUAAAUAUAUCAGAGCUCUAAACUCAGGUCAUGUGCGUGUCCGUGUGUUGGACUUGGAGUGUGUAGUUUGAUAUAUUUUUAUUUUAUAAUUUGACACGCCUGAAAACGGCGCAAGGAACGCCAACGGCGACGACAACGGCAGCUAACCAAAGUGCGACCGAUUUAACAUCAUCGCAGCUAACAUCGGCGCCUGGACAACCUAUCGUGAAGGUAUCAGUCCACUGUGAAUCCUGUCGUGGCAACUUUAAACUAUCACGUCGCAUGCUUCGCGGAGUCAAGUCCAACAAGUCGGAAAUACCCGAUCAAAGGAGGCGCUGCUCGUGGAUAAUAUGCGGUAGAACCUGUAAUCCACGACUGGCAGGUAAAUUUAACAGCUAGUGGAACUUCGACUUCUCGGAGCUCAAGGAAGUACAGAGAAAAUAGCCUGGGUCGUUGGCUUUAGAGAACGACAAAAGAGUUGGCAUUAAUUGCCAACGAUUACUAAAAAGUAAUCAUCACAAUCAUCAGCGUUUGCGGCAGCAGGUAGCACCUGGUGUGUAAAAGGCUCGAGGAUGGCGACGAUAGACGGCAGACCGGCCCAAUAUGGAGUCUCUCUCAAACAACUUAGAGAGCUCAUGGAGCACCGAGGCCGCGAGGGUGUUAAUAAAAUAAACGCCCUUGGUGGUGUCCAGGAAAUAUGCAAAAAGUUAUAUACCUCGCCGAGCGAUGGCCUCAGUGGAUCAUCGGCGGACAUGCAGCACAGGCGAGACACAUUUGGUUCCAACUCAAUACCUCCAAAACCACCUAAAACAUUUCUCACGUUAGUGUGGGAAGCUCUUCAAGAUGUCACUUUGAUAAUCCUUGAAAUAGCUGCAUUGGUUUCGUUAGGUCUUAGCUUUUAUCACCCAACCCCCAAGGCAGAAGAUGAUGAUGUUGAAUUAGAUGAAGAUGAGGCUAAAUACGGUUGGAUUGAGGGUCUUGCCAUUUUAAUCUCCGUUAUAGUAGUUGUGUUAGUUACAGCAUUUAAUGAUUACUCGAAAGAAAGGCAAUUUCGGGGCUUACAAAAUAGGAUAGAGGGUGAACAUAAAUUUGCUGUUAUUAGACAAAAUGAAGUCAAGCAAAUUUCCGUGUCUGAUAUCGUCGUGGGCGAUAUUUGUCAGAUAAAAUACGGUGAUUUGCUACCAGCGGAUGGUAUUCUAAUCCAAAGUAACGAUCUGAAAGUCGACGAGUCAAGUUUGACUGGAGAAUCGGAUCAUGUUAAAAAAGGCGAAGCCUUUGACCCGAUGGUGCUAUCAGGUACUCACGUGAUGGAGGGCUCAGGAAAGAUGCUCGUGACAGCUGUGGGUGUUAACUCACAAGCCGGUAUUAUCUUCACGUUGCUGGGCGCUGCUGUUGAUCAACAGGAGCAGGAAAUUAAGAAAAUGAAAAAAGAAGCUAAAAAGCAGCGGAAGAAGAAGUCUCUCCCAGGAGAUGAAGCUGGAGAAAUCACGGGUAACAGUCAUCCAGGAAGCGGUGGAAGUGUUAAACAAGACGGAGAAAAUCAUGCUGCCGCGUCAAGUGGCGGUGGAGGUGGUCAUGGUGAAGGAAAGAAAGAAAAAAGUGUUCUGCAAGCCAAGCUGACAAAACUUGCCAUUCAAAUUGGUUACGCUGGGUCAACAAUUGCCGUACUUACGGUUCUCAUUCUAAUCGUACAAUUUUGUGUUAAGAAAUUUUACAUUCAAAAAGCCCAAUGGGAGAGCUCAUACAUCAAUAAUCUUAUAAAACACUUGAUUAUUGGUGUUACCGUGCUUGUGGUUGCUGUACCGGAAGGUCUUCCACUUGCCGUUACGUUGUCUCUUGCCUACUCGGUCAAGAAAAUGAUGAAGGACAACAACUUGGUACGGCAUCUGGAUGCAUGUGAAACAAUGGGUAAUGCAACGGCGAUUUGUUCCGACAAAACGGGUACUUUGACGACGAAUCGUAUGACUGUUGUCCAGUCUUACAUAUGCGAGAAGCUCAGCAAAACAAUACCGCCGUUUUCUGACAUACCGAGCCACGUUGGAAAUCUUAUUGUCCAGGCAAUAUCUCUUAAUUCGGCUUAUACGUCCAGAAUAAUGCCCGCGGCAGAUCCUACCGAACUACCGAUGCAGGUCGGCAACAAAACCGAAUGUGCCUUACUUGGAUUUGUACUGGCGUUGGGCCAGAAUUAUCAAACGGUACGGGAUGACCAGCCGGAGGAAACAUUUACGCGUGUAUACACAUUUAACAGUGUAAGAAAAAGUAUGUCUACUGUUGUUCCAAAAUCAGGCGGUGGUUACAGGCUCUUCACCAAGGGUGCUUCCGAGAUCAUCAUGAAGAAAUGUGCCUUUAUUUACGGUCGCGAUGGACAUUUGGAAAAAUUCACCCGUGAAAUGCAAGAUCGUUUGGUUAAAAAUGUUAUUGAGCCGAUGGCGUGCGACGGAUUACGUACUAUUUCAGUAGCAUACCGAGAUUUUGUACCCGGUAAAGCUGAAAUAAAUCAAGUACACUGUGAAGGUGAACCUAACUGGGAGGAUGAAGAAAAUAUUGUAAAUAAUUUAACGUGUCUGUGUAUCGUUGGUAUCGAAGAUCCCGUGAGACCAGAAGUACCAGAGGCAAUAAGAAAAUGUCAAAAAGCUGGUAUAACUGUACGAAUGGUUACUGGUGACAAUAUAAAUACCGCUCGAUCAAUAGCACUCAAAUGUGGUAUUAUUAAAGCGAGUGACGAUUUUCUUAUACUUGAGGGUAAAGAGUUCAACAGGCGAAUAAGAGACAGUAAUGGUGAAGUUCAACAGCACUUACUGGAUAAAGUUUGGCCAAAAUUAAGGGUACUGGCACGUUCGUCACCCACCGAUAAGUACACCCUGGUAAAAGGUAUUAUCGACAGUACUUGUACAGCCUCACGCGAAGUUGUUGCUGUCACCGGUGACGGUACUAACGACGGUCCGGCGUUGAAAAAAGCCGACGUUGGUUUUGCGAUGGGUAUCGCUGGUACAGAUGUUGCUAAAGAAGCUUCCGAUAUUAUAUUAACAGAUGACAAUUUUUCCUCUAUUGUUAAAGCCGUAAUGUGGGGCAGGAAUGUUUACGAUAGUAUAGCUAAAUUUUUGCAAUUUCAACUGACAGUUAACAUUGUUGCUGUUAUUGUUGCAUUCAUUGGUGCUUGUGCUGUACAAGACUCGCCUCUCAAGGCUGUACAAAUGUUAUGGGUUAAUUUAAUUAUGGACACACUCGCGUCACUUGCAUUAGCCACAGAAUUACCUACACCAGAUCUGUUGCUUCGUAAACCUUAUGGACGUACGAAGCCACUUAUUUCCAGGACAAUGAUGAAAAAUAUCCUUGGUCAAGGGAUUUAUCAGUUGAUUGUUAUUUUUACGCUCCUAUUUGCCGGUGACCGAAUGCUGGAUAUACCUACUGGAUUAGGUGCUGCAGACAGACACGAUCCACCUACUCAACACUUCACUAUAAUAUUUAACACAUUCGUAAUGAUGACCCUCUUCAACGAGUUCAACGCGAGAAAAAUUCACGGUCAGCGCAAUGUCUUCCAGGGAAUAUUCACCAACCCCAUCUUCUAUUCUAUUUGGAUCGGGACAUUGCUCUCCCAAGUUAUUAUCAUCCAGUAUGGUAAGAUGGCAUUCAGCACAAAAGCUCUAGAUCUAGAACAAUGGUUAUGGUGUAUAUUCUUUGGAAUUGGUACGUUAGUGUGGGGCCAAGUAGUUACAACAGUUCCUACAAGGAAGAUUCCUAAGAUCCUCUCAUGGGGCCGCGGCCAGCCGGAUGAUAUCGGUGCUAUCAAUCUAGGAGACGAGAAAUUCGACCCAGACUCGGAUAAAAAGCCGCGCGCAGGACAAAUUCUAUGGAUCCGUGGUCUAACACGGCUACAGACUCAGACGAGCAAUAGAUCUCUGGUGCAGAAUGUAUCUGUGACAGGCAGAUCUCCCUCUCAGGAUUACUAUAUGCCAGCGGAACCUAUUCGGGAGACCGAGGUAUAACAAGGCGGCAGUCUUACCGGCCGCCGCCACUCUAUUCCUGUCGGAGUACAAACAAAUCCGCGUAGUGAACGCAUUUCGGCAGGGCCUAGACUCGCGAUACGGCGAGCACAGUGGAUUGACCCUUGCGGAGGUACUGCGGAAGCAAUCAUCGCUGAGUAAGCGGCACUCACAGACGAGCAGCAUCGAUUAUGCCGA